GUGCGCGUGACGUCAGCACGUUGACGGGCUUCCUAGGUGAGAGGGAGUGGCACUGGGGACCUGCCUGGCUCCUAAAGGAAGUUUCAGGUUCGCUCGCUGUGCUUAGCCUUGGAUUGUAGAUGGGAGGGAACCGACUACGAAGAGAAAGACCAACAUCUAUUGAUGCCUUCCCCUUACCGAGCACCUUGCUAGGAACUGUGAAGAAGACGGCCUUCAUAAUCAGACACAAAAAGAAAUCAACUUUUACACCACAGUGCAAUUAAGUGUUAUGUUAGAGAAACGCACCAGAUUGAUCUUAACAUCUUCUCUUCUUCCCUUACAACUUCUGCUUGCUGGCUGUUCAGGCUCUCCAAGGAACCAGUUCUGGCACUGACUUCACAAGAAGAAUCCAGUAGGCACAUUUUUCAAAACAAUGUUUGUGUUUGUGUCCCUUGGUUCAAAUUCUAAAGGUUGAGACUGAAUGAUUAGGUGUAUGUACAGAUUCUCUGCCCAUUCAUGAUAUCACAUGAUACAAACAUGACCACCCAAGCCCAUCACCUCAACAAGAGUUCUGAAAGGAUAAAAUUUCAAAGAAGGGGCUACUAUUGGAAAGUUAUAUAGACGUACCUAUUCACCCAAUCGUAUUCCAUGCUUACCAAACUAACUUUAAAUAAUUUGAUUUACCUGAAGUUUGCCUACUGGGGAAACCAAGGCACUGGACUUUGGGACUUAUAUUUCCUCUUUGUAAAUUAAUAAGUUGACUUCAACAAUAUAUACAAAAGGAGAGAAGAUAAACAGAAUAGGUCUACAAAGAGGAAAAUUAAAAAUAGACAGUGGGAAGUAUGGACAAAGAAAGAGAACUAGAAAAUUCCUUGACUUUCCAUUCCUGAGGUUUGGCUCCUCAUCAUGAAAUUCUUUCCAUGAGAUUCACCUGUAGCCUGCAGGGCUGAUCCACUUGAGUCAAUUCUGGUUUUUCAACUGUGGCACAUUGACAAAAAUAUUGAAAAUUUUAAAAGCCU